AGUGCAUAUGGUGGAUGCCUUGGCGAUCACAGGCGAUGAAGGACGUAGUAGCCUGCGAAAAGCUGCGGGGAGCUGGCAAACAAGCAUUGAUCCGCAGAUAUCCGAAUGGGGAAACCCACCGCGCAAGCGGUAUCCCUGGCUGAAUACAUAGGCCAGUGGAGGCGAACCGGGUGAACUGAAACAUCUCAGUAGCUCGAGGAAAAGAAAUCAACCGAGAUUCCGAAAGUAGUGGCGAGCGAAAUCGGAAGAGCCUUUACGAUUUAGCAUUUUGCAUAGUCGAACGGAAUGGAAAGUCCGGCCGUAGCAGGUGAUAGCCCUGUAGACGAAAUGCAGAGUGUGGAACUAGGCGUAAGAGAAGUAGGGCGGGACACGUGAAAUCCUGUCUGAAGAUGGGGGGACCAUCCUCCAAGGCUAAAUACUCGUGAUCGACCGAUAGUGAACCAGUACCGUGAGGGAAAGGCGAAAAGAACCCCGGAAGGGGAGUGAAAUAGAUCCUGAAACCGUAUGCAUACAAACAGUCGGAGCCUCUUUAUGGGGUGACGGCGUACCUUUUGUAUAAUGGGUCAGCGACUUACAUUCAGUGGCGAGCUUAACCGAAUAGGGAAGGCGUAGCGAAAGCGAGUCCGAAUAGGGCGUCCAGUCGCUGGGUGUAGACCCGAAACCAGAUGAUCUACCCAUGGCCAGGUUGAAGGCACGGUAACACGUGCUGGAGGACCGAACCCACUAGUGUUGAAAAACUAGGGGAUGAGCUGUGGAUAGGGGUGAAAGGCUAAACAAAUCUGGAAAUAGCUGGUUCUCUCCGAAAACUAUUUAGGUAGUGCCUCAAGUAUUACUGCAGGGGGUAGAGCACUGUUAUGGCUAGGGGGUCAUGGCGACUUACCAAACCAUGGCAAACUCCGAAUACCUGCAAGUACAGCUUGGGAGACAGAGCACCGGGUGCUAACGUCCGGACUCAAGAGGGAAACAACCCAGACCGCCAGCUAAGGUCCCGAAUUAUCGCUAAGUGGGAAACGAAGUGGGAAGGCAUAGACAGUCAGGAGGUUGGCUUAGAAGCAGCCACCCUUUAAAGAAAGCGUAAUAGCUCACUGAUCGAGUCGUCCUGCGCGGAAGAUGUAACGGGGCUAAGCGAUAAACCGAAGCUGCGGGUGUGCACUUUUAGUGCACGCGGUAGGAGAGCGUUCUGUAAGCCUGCGAAGGUGGCUUGUAAAGGCUGCUGGAGGUAUCAGAAGUGCGAAUGCUGACAUGAGUAGCGAUAAAGGGGGUGAAAAGCCCCCUCGCCGUAAGUCCAAGGUUUCCUGCGCAACGUUCAUCGGCGCAGGGUGAGUCGGCCCCUAAGGCGAGGCAGAGAUGCGUAGCGGAUGGGAAGCUGGUUAAUAUUCCAGCACCGUCGUACAGUGCGAUGGGGGGACGGAUCGCGGAAGGUCAUCAGGGUGUUGGACGUCCCUGUUGCUGCAUUGAAGAUGGCGCUUAGGCAAAUCCGGGCGCGAGAAUCAAGGGUGUGGCACGAGCGAGCAAGUCUCGCGAAGUGAUUGGAAGUGGUUCCAAGAAAAGCCUCUAAGCUUCAGCUGUACGAGACCGUACCGCAAACCGACACNCGGGAGAAGGUAUACCCUGGUAGUGUGAAGCGCCUGCGCGCUGAGCAUGAAGGGGUCGCAGAGAAUCGGUGGCUGCGACUGUUUAUUAAAAACACAGCACUCUGCAAAGACGAAAGUCGACGUAUAGGGUGUGACGCCUGCCCGGUGCCGGAAGGUUAAGUGAUGGGGUGCAAGCUCUUGAUCGAAGCCCCGGUAAACGGCGGCCGUAACUAUAACGGUCCUAAGGUAGCGAAAUUCCUUGUCGGGUAAGUUCCGACCUGCACGAAUGGCGUAACGAUGGCCACACUGUCUCCUCCUGAGACUCAGCGAAGUUGAAGUGUUUGUGAUGAUGCAAUCUACCCGCGGCUAGACGGAAAGACCCCAUGAACCUUUACUGUAGCUUUGCAUUGGACUGUGAACCGGCCUGUGUAGGAUAGGUGGGAGGCGCAGAACUCGAGUCGCCAGAUUCGAGGGAGCCAUCCUUGAAAUACCACCCUGGUUUGUUUGCGGUUCUAACCUUGGUCCGUUAUCCGGAUCGGGGACAGUGCAUGGUAGGCAGUUUGACUGGGGCGGUCUCCUCCCAAAGCGUAACGGAGGAGUUCGAAGGUACGCUAGGUACGGUCGGAAAUCGUGCUGAUAGUGCAAUGGCAUAAGCGUGCUUGACUGUGAGACUGACAAGUCGAACAGGUGCGAAAGCAGGACAUAGUGAUCCGGUGGUUCUGAAUGGAAGGGCCAUCGCUCAACGGAUAAAAGGUACUCUGGGGAUAACAGGCUGAUACCGCCCAAGAGUUCAUAUCGACGGCGGUGUUUGGCACCUCGAUGUCGGCUCAUCUCAUCCUGGGGCUGUAGCCGGUCCCAAGGGUAUGGCUGUUCGCCAUUUAAAGAGGUACGUGAGCUGGGUUUAAAACGUCGUGAGACAGUUUGGUC
rnacentral:rRNA from 1 species